rnacentral:rRNA from 1 species
CCGGGCGGCGUGCUAUAAUGCAAGUCGAGCGCGGGAAGCGAGUGGAUCCCUUCGGGGUGAAGCUCGUGGAACGAGCGGCGGACGGGUGAGUAACACGUGGGCAACCUGCCUGUAAGAUCGGAAUAACCCCGGGAAACCGGGGCUAAUGCCGGGUAAUACUUUCUUUCGCAUGAAGGAAAGUUGAAAGAUGGCUUCUCGCUAUCACUUACAGAUGGGCCCGCGGCGCAUUAGCUAGUUGGUGAGGUAACGGCUCACCAAGGCGACGAUGCGUAGCCGACCUGAGAGGGUGAUCGGCCACACUGGGACUGAGACACGGCCCAGACUCCUACGGGAGGCAGCAGUAGGGAAUCUUCCGCAAUGGACGAAAGUCUGACGGAGCAACGCCGCGUGAACGAUGAAGGUCUUCGGAUCGUAAAGUUCUGUUGUUAGGGAAGAACAAGUACCGUGCGAAUAGAGCGGUACCUUGACGGUACCUAACGAGGAAGCCCCGGCUAACUACGUGCCAGCAGCCGCGGUAAUACGUAGGGGGCAAGCGUUGUCCGGAAUUAUUGGGCGUAAAGCGCGCGCAGGCGGUUCCUUAAGUCUGAUGUGAAAGCCCACGGCUCAACCGUGGAGGGUCAUUGGAAACUGGGGAACUUGAGGACAGAAGAGGAGAGUGGAAUUCCACGUGUAGCGGUGAAAUGCGUAGAUAUGUGGAGGAACACCAGUGGCGAAGGCGACUCUCUGGUCUGUUUCUGACGCUGAGGUGCGAAAGCGUGGGUAGCAAACAGGAUUAGAUACCCUGGUAGUCCACGCCGUAA